ensembl:rRNA 5S_rRNA 5S ribosomal RNA
GUCUACGGCCACACCACCCUGAAUACGCCCGAUCUUGUCUGAUCUCGGAAGCUAAGCAGGGUCGGGCCUGGUUAGUACUUGGAUGGGAGAAAUGAAUAGAAAGAUUUGCCAUUUAAU